rfam:Tupaia chinensis contig215824, whole genome shotgun sequence.
GUGCUCCCUUCAGCAGCACAUAUACUAAAAUGGGAAAGAUAUAGCGAUUAGCAUGGCCCCUAUGUGAGGAUGACACACAAAUUUAUGAAGUGCCCUAUAUUUUU